CAUAUCAAUAAGCGGAGGAAAAGAAACUAACAAGGAUUCCCCCUAGUAACUGCGAGUGAAGCGGGAAAAGCUCAAAUUUAAAAUCUGGCAGUCUCUGGCUGUCCGAGUUGUAAUUUAGAGAAGUGUUAUCCGCGCUGGACCGUGUACAAGUCUCCUGGAAUGGAGCGUCAUAGAGGGUGAGAAUCCCGUCUUUGACACGGACUGCCAGGGCUUUGUGAUGCGCUCUCAAAGAGUCGAGUUGUUUGGGAAUGCAGCUCAAAAUGGGUGGUAAAUUCCAUCUAAAGCUAAAUAUUGGCGAGAGACCGAUAGUGAACAAGUACCGUGAGGGAAAGAUGAAAAGAACUUUGGAAAGAGAGUUAAACAGUACGUGAAAUUGCUGAAAGGGAAACGCUUGAAGUCAGUCGCGUUGGCCGGGGAUCAACCUUGCUUUUGCUUGGUGUACUUUCUGGUUGAUGGGUCAGCAUCAAUUUUGACCAUUGGAUAAAGGUCAAGGGAAUGUGGCAUCUUCGGAUGUGUUAUAGCCCUUAGCUGCAUACAAUGAUUGGGAUUGAGGAACUCAGCACGCCGCAAGGCCGGGUUUUUUUUGAACCACGUACGUGCUUAGGAUGCUGGCAUAAUGGCUUUAAUCGACCCGUCUUGAAACACGGACCAAGGAGUCUAACAUGCCUGCGAGUGUUUGGGUGGAAAACCCGAGUGCGUAAUGAAAGUGAAAGUUGAGAUCCCUGUCAUGGGGAGCAUCGACGCCCGGACCAGACCUUUUGUGACGGCUCCGCGGUAGAGCAUGUAUGUUGGGACCCGAAAGAUGGUGAACUAUGCCUGAAUAGGGUGAAGCCAGAGGAAACUCUGGUGGAGGCUCGUAGCGAUUCUGACGUGCAAAUCGAUCGUCAAAUUUGGGUAUAGGGGCGAAAGACUAAUCGAACCAUCUAGUAGCUGGUU
rnacentral:rRNA from 1 species